ensembl:antisense Gm11940 predicted gene 11940
UCAUUUCCACAUUCACAUCACCAGUGGACACAUUUUGAAGGUCUCUCAUUUCCUGUUUGAGGAGCAGUUAGAUUUAAUUAGUCAGACUUGCUAAGGGUCAGCUCAUCCAGUACCCUGCGCAGGCCAUUGAUGUCGGCCUCCACGCUCUGGCGCAGGGUCACCUCAUUCUCGUAUCUGAAGCAAGCAAGAUACAAACACUGAAUAUACAGGAGGAUGACGGUAUACCUGGAUAUACACGGACUACAGUGCAGAUACAGAUUUGGUUUCAUGUCAUGGCAACAUUCAUAAUACACGAAUUCAUGUAGGAAUAUUAAUUAAUAUAGUUUGAUUUGAAGAAAGCUGUCACUUUAAAACACACCCUCCUUUAACGAUUGCCCAAAAGAUAUGACAAUUAAAUUAAAAAAAAAAAACAAACAG